rnacentral:rRNA from 1 species
UACGAAGGGGGCUAGCGUUGCUCGGAAUCACUGGGCGUAAAGCGCACGUAGGCGGCUUUCUAAGUCAGGGGUGAAAUCCUGGAGCUCAACUCCAGAACUGCCUUCGAUACUGGGAGUCUCGAGUUCGGGAGAGGUGAGUGGAACUGCGAGUGUAGAGGUGAAAUUCGUAGAUAUUCGCAAGAACACCAGUGGCGAAGGCGGCUCACUGGCCCGGUACUGACGCUGAGGUGCGAAAAGCGUGGGGAGCAAACAGG